UACGUAGGGGGCGAGCGUUGUCCGGAGUUACUGGGCGUAAAGCGCUUGUAGGCGGUCCACCAAGUUUGGGGUGACAGUUGCCGACUUAAUCGGCAAAGUGCCUCAAAGACUGGCGGACUUGAGGGCCACAGAGGGACAUGGAACUCCAGGUGUAGUGGUGAAAUGCGUAGAUAUCUGGAAGAACACCAAAGGCGAAGGCAGUGUCCUGGGUGGUCACUGACGCUGAGAGGCGAAAGCCAGGGGAGCGAACGGG
rnacentral:rRNA from 1 species